GGUGCAGGCGGGCAGGGGCUCCGGGAGUGGGGCAGGAGGGAGCCUAAAACCAGUCCAUGCUUCCCCCUGUGGGCUUCGCACCCUGGCACAAGGCUACGCCCACCUGGAGGGGGCACCUGGUCCCAAUGCGUCGAAGUGCCUAUGGCCUCAGCUGCGUGCCAGCUGGGCAGGGCGCCCUCUAAGCCGGACCCAGCUCCAAGUCCAACCCAGAGUCGGUUCUGUUCCAAUCUUGGUUCAGACCCCACACAAGACUCCACAUCAGAUUCCCAACUCAACUCGGACUUAAAAACGAUACUAGUUGGGAUCCAGGCUUGACCCUGAAUCACAUCCCAAAUCACACUCUCACCUGGGACUUGCCACAACUCUGACUGUGACCCUGGCCCCGGCCCCAUCUGACCCAGUCAUGGCCCCAUCAGCAAGAUUUCAACUCUCAUCCUAACUCUGACUCAAUCCCGGGUUUCAUCUGUGAUACCAACUCAGGUUCCGACCAUUGCCUGACCCCGACCAUCGCCCCUGCCACCCC